AAGGUCUACAAUAUUUAUUUUGAUCAUUUCUUUAUUUGACAAAGCCAAAAUAAAUUUAUUUACAAAUUUUACAUCUCUCUCUUAUAGUUUAUGUAACACCCAAAAUUUGAUUUCGGAUUAAUAGGAUUUAAUUUGAUUUAAUUAAGUAUUUUUGUGAGCAUUUAAAGUAGCACUUAAAUAAUUUUGUGGAAAAUAAAAUUUAUCGUAAGUUUUAGAAAAAUGUUUUUCGCAUUCAUGUUGGAGCACAUUUUAUUUUAUGCUUGUUUUUGAUGAGAAUUCAAAACUCUCUUUGGAAACGGCUUUGGAAAAAAAAUUGGAAAGAAAAAAAAAGAGAAAGCUCCUGGAAUCCAGGCUGAGACCCAGCUCCCCUCACCCCAGGC
rnacentral:lncRNA from 1 species